rnacentral:tRNA from 1 species
AAUGAAGUGCCUGAAAAAAAGGAUUAUCUUGAUAGGAUAAAUUAUGUAACAAAAAUUACCUUCAUUA